rnacentral:rRNA from 1 species
GGAUUAGAUACCCUGGUAGUCCACGCUGUAAACGAUGUAUGCUAGGUGUCGGCCUUAGGGCCGGUGCUGGAGCUAACGCGUUAAGCAUACCACCUGGGGAGUACGUCGGCAACGAUGAAACUCAAAGGAAUUGACGGGGGCCCGCACAAGCGGUGGAGCAUGUGGCUUAAUUCGAUGCAACGCGAAGAACCUUACCCAGGCUAAAUCCAUGAUGCUACCCUCAGAGAUGAGGGGUUCCUUCGGGACGUUAUGGAAGGUGCUGCAUGGCUGUCGUCAGCUCGUGCCG